CGUUGUCCGGACUAUUGCGUAAAGCGAGCGCAGCGUAGAAAAGUCUGAAGUGAAAGGCAGUGGCUCAAACAUUGUAGGCUUUGGAAACUGUUUAACUUGAGUGCAGAAGGGGAGAGUGGAAUUCCAUGUGUAGCGGUGAAAUGCGUAGAUAUAUGGAGGAACACCGGUGGCGAAAGCGGCUCUCUGGUCUGUAACUGACGCUGAGGCUCGAAAGCGUGGGGAGCGAACAGGAUUAGAUACCCUGGUAGUCCACGCCGUAAACGAUGAGUGCUAGGUGUUAGGUCCUUUCCGGGACUUAGUGCCGCAGCUAACGCAUUAAGCACUCCGCCUGGGGAGUACGACCGCAAGGUUGAAACUCAAAGGAAUUGACGGGGGCCCGCACAAGCGGUGGAGCAUGUGGUUUAAUUCGAAGCAACGCGAAGAACCUUACCAGGUCUUGACAUCCCGAUGCUAUUUCUAGAGAUAGGAAGUUUCUUCGGAACAUCGGUGACAGGUGGUGCAUGGUUGUCGUCAGCUCGUGUCGUGAGAUGUUGGGUUAAGUCCCGCAACGAGCGCAACCCUUAUUGUUAGUUGCCAUCAUUGAGUUGGGCACUCUAGCGAGACUGCCGGUAAUAAACCGGAGGAAGGUGGGGAUGACGUCAAAUCAUCAUGCCCCUUAUGACCUGGGCUACACACGUGCUACAAUGGCUGGUACAACGAGUCGCAAGCCGGUGACGGCAAGCUAAUCUCUGAAAGCCAGUCUCAGUUCGGAUUGUAGGCUGCAACUCGCCUACAUGAAGUCGGAAUCGCUAGUAAUCGCGGAUCAGCACGCCGCGGUGAAUACGUUCCCGGGCCUUGUACACACCGCCCGUCACACCACGAGAGUUUGUAACACCCGAAGUC
rnacentral:rRNA from 1 species